GACGAACGCUGGCGGCGUGCCUAAUACAUGUAAGUAGAACGCUGAAGAGAGGAGCUUGCUCUUCUUGGAUGAGUUGCGAACGGGUGAGUAACGCGUAGGUAACCUGCCUUGUAGCGGGGGAUAACUAUUGGAAACGAUAGCUAAUACCGCAUAACAAUGGAUGACACAUGUCAUUUAUUUGAAAGGGGCAAUUGCUCCACUACAAGAUGGACCUGCGUUGUAUUAGCUAGUAGGUGAGGUAAUGGCUCACCUAGGCGACGAUACAUAGCCGACCUGAGAGGGUGAUCGGCCACACUGGGACUGAGACACGGCCCAGACUCCUACGGGAGGCAGCAGUAGGGAAUCCUCGGCAAUGGGGGCAACCCUGACCGAGCAACGCCGCGUGAGUGAAGAAGGUUUUCGGAUCGUAAAGCUCUGUUGUAAGUCAAGAACGGGUGUGAGAGUGGAAAGUUCACACUGUGACGGUAGCUUACCAGAAAGAGACGGCUAACUACGUG
rnacentral:rRNA from 1 species